UGGAACUUGAAGGCAGCAGAAUCUGCAAAUCGCUUGCCUGAGAUCUUAAAGAUCUGAUUUGCAUUACAUCAAAACACAUGCCAUUUGCAACGAGUGUGUCAGUGAUUGAGUGAGAUGCUCAGACUAAGUAUUACAAGAACCAAGAGGGGGGAAAGAAUACCAUGAACCUCACCAGGGUCUCUCCAGGCUGUGCGUAGCAGGAGCAAAGUCACGGAAGAGGCAAGACAGAAGUUUUAUUUACAGUGUGAGCAUUUUAACAUGUCCCAGAGGAUCAGUUUGUUGUUGCUGUCAUUAAGAGCUUCUUGAUUUUACAAUACGACUGUAAGCUGCUUGAGUGCGAUCACUUCACCUUCUAUUGCCCAUAGUGCCUAACCAGGCACCUAGGAAGUAUGCUGAUUUCAGGGUUUUCAACAUGACUUUGAAGCUACAUCACAGGAACCGUACAUCAGGCUGUCAGGAACGGCCACUGAGGAGUGAGCAACAGGACCCUGUUCCAGGAUUUUGAAAGUGUCCGCUGGUCACCUGUCUGGUGGGAAUGGGCGAGAACCAGCUAGAGAAUCUUGUGGUUGGUGACUUUCCUUGGAGGAUUUUCUCUGUGAUUUCCUGGAACCAUGGAAAAGUAGCUAACUUUAUUUAUGUGCCAAAAUAAAAGACAAGGUCCUCCUAUGCUUUAUUUACUUAA